AUACCUGAAGAGAAAUACAGCCGCCGCUGAGCCGCUUAGAAUAUCAAAAAAGUGCCAAACGCAAAUAAGCGAUUGGCACUUAGUACUUAGUGCAAAUCUUUUACAUUGAAGCUACAAGUUCAUUCACCCUUGAACCAAAGCCGUGCAUUAAAGGCAAUAAAAUCACUCAAUUCGCCGAGUAGAAAAGCAACAAACAAAAACAGCUGUUUUGUCUACGGCAGUGCCGAAUAAUUAAUAAUUGAUUCCGCUCCCAGCGGUCGGGAAUUCGCCGCUAUUAGGCGCACCUAAAGCCAAGAGAAGCCGCUGCAAUUGGACGAGAAGUAGUUUAAUUCGCACCUCCGAAGCCACCGUCUAGACGGGGAAGCCUCGAUUUUCUAAUCGGGAAAUGUCGGUUAAAUAACCGUUCGUUAAACUUUUGUAUACAUAUCUCUGGCUUUUUUUGUCCCACCCUAGCCUAAGUGUAAAAUAAGUUUGGUAGUGUUAAGUGAAACAUGAAAUAUUAAGUGAUUACGGAGGAAUGUAAAAGUCACAUAAAAGUG